GAGCAGUUUUUCUGGAUGGAAGUCCGCCAACUUAUCACUGGGAUAUGGGAUUUGGUGCGGGAAUUAACAAUUGGUUGGUUCACAUUGAGACAAGGAAGUUUUGCUCCUGCAUACGAAAGUUGACCUUGUAGUAACUCUUGGUGGGGAUGGAACGGUCCUUUGGAAACUUGCUGGGAAAUUAACAAACUUUUGGUAUCAUUCUCUCUUUUUCAAAAACUUGAGGGCACCCAUAAUGGCUGAAAUGUUCAAUUAUACUAGCUGAUAACUUCUUGCUUUGGAGAUGAUGAUGAAGAAUAAAAUGUAUCAAAACUUUUAACUCUUGGACAGAUUUGGUCUUUGUACAAAGUGUGGUUGUUGAUAUCUUUUCUCUUAAACAAUAAUUGACAUAUCGGCAGUUUGUAUGCGGCCCCUAAUCUGUUAAUUUGUUGGUUUGAGUUUAGAGAUCAAAGAAAGUGUAAUUGUAGCAAUAUACCACUUUUGCUAUACAUCAAUAUCAUAGCAUAUCAUCUCAACAAUUGUGAA